UACGAAGGGAGCUAGCGUUGUUCGGAAUUACUGGGCGUAAAGGGCGCGUAGGCGGUUUUUGUAAGUCAGAUGUGAAAGCCCCGGGCUUAACCUGGGAGGUGCAUUUGAAACUGCAAGACUAGAGAUCGAGAGAGGAAAGUGGAAUUACGAGUGUAGAGGUGAAAUUCGUAGAUAUUCGUAAGAACACCAGUGGCGAAGGCGGCUUCUGGCUCGAUACUGACGCUGAGGCACGGAAAGGCGUGGGAAGCCAAACAGGGGAUUAAGAAAACCCCU
rnacentral:rRNA from 1 species